UUUAUCCUUUUAAAGUAAUACUUGAUCAAUAUCAUUUUAAAAAUAGACUAAAUUAAUUUUCUAUUUGCUAAGAGAUGAUUAUUGAUGUUUGCUAAGAAAUGAUUAUUGAUGUGGAGAUGAUAUUCGAGGAAGGAAAAUAAGAAGCUCAAUUUAAAGACGAUUCACAAUUCAUAAGCAAAAAGAAAAAAAAAGUGUGGUGAUAACCAGAAACGAGGACUUAUAUUUUCUCUCGAGAUCAAACCAAACCUCAGAUUGUUUUUUUUU
rnacentral:lncRNA from 1 species